rnacentral:SRP_RNA from 1 species
GGAGCAACACUUGUGCGUGAAGUGGGUCAGGGGAGGAAUCCAGCAGCCCUAAGCGAU